CAGCCCCAUCGGCGUGGGGACACGGAGCUGGUGGAAUCGCGCCAUGGCCUGGGCCCCUCUCCUCCUCGUGGUGCUCGCCCAUGUCUCAGGUUCCCUGGUCCAGGCAGCGCUGACUCAGCCGCCCUCCGUGUCAGCGAACCCAGGACAAACCGUCCAGAUCACCUGCUCCGGUGGUGGUAGCUACUAUGGCUGGUACCAGCAGAAGGUCCCUGGCAGUGCCCCUGUCACUGUGAUCUAUGAUAAUACCAAGAGACCCUCAGGCAUCCCUUCACGUUUCUCCGGAUCCAAGUCUGGCUCCACAGCCACGUUAACCAUCACUGGGGUCCAAGCCGAGGAUGAGGCUGUCUAUUACUGUGGUGGCUAUGACAGCAGCAGCAACUAUGCUGCCACGGGGACAAGAAGCAAUGGGAAGUGA